GCAGCGCUGGUGUAAUUGGCGCAUACCAGCUUUCAAAGCUGAUGGUACGGGUUCAAGACCCGUGCGCUGCUCCA
rnacentral:tRNA from 2 species